rnacentral:sRNA from 5 species
AGGAGAACAGGAUCGACGCCGCGCGUCACCACCAGGUAGUCGCGCAGCGCAAUACUGUGGCGACCUUC